UACGUAGGGACCAAGCGUUGUUCGGAUUUACUGGGCGUAAAGGGCGCGUAGGCGGCAAUUCAAGUCAUCUGUGAAAUCUCCGGGCUUAACUCGGAACGGUCAGAUGAUACUGCUUUGCUAGAGUACAGAAGGGGCAAUCGGAGUUCUUGGCGUAGCGGUGAAAUGCGUAGAUAUCAAGAGGAACACCUGAGGUGAAGACGGGUUGCUGGGCUGAUACUGACGCUGAGGCGCGAAAGCUAGGGUAGCAAACGGG
rnacentral:rRNA from 1 species